CUCCUACGGGAGGCAGCAGUGGGGAAUAUUGCACAAUGUUGCGGAAGCCUGAUGCAGCAACGCCGCGUGCGGGAUGACGGCCUUCGGGUUGUAAACCGCUUUCGCCUGUGACGAAGCGUGAGUGACGGUAAUGGGUAAAGAAGCACCGGCUAACUACGUGCCAGCAGCCGCGGUGAUACGUAGGGUGCGAGCGUUGUCCGGAUUUAUUGGGCGUAAAGGGCUCGUAGGUGGUUGAUCGCGUCGGAAGUGUAAUCUUGGGGCUUAACCCUGAGCGCGCUUUCGAUACGGGUUGCUUUGAGGAAGGUAGGGGAGAAUGGAAUUCCUGGUGGAGCGGUGGAAUGCGCAGAUAUCAGGAGGAACACCAGUGGCGAAGGCGGUUCUCUGGGCCUUUCCUGACGCUGAGGAGCGAAAGCGUGGGGAGCGAACAGGCUUAGAUACCCUGGUAGUCCACGCUGUAAACGGUGGGUACUAGGUGUGGGGUCCAUUCCACGGGUUCCGUGCCGUAGCUAACGCUUUAAGUACCCCGCCUGGGGAGUACGGCCGCAAGGCUAAAACUCAAAGGAAUUGACGGGGCCCCGCACAAGCGGCGGAGCAUGCGGAUUAAUUCGAUGCAACGCGUAGAACCUUACCUGGGUUUGACAUGGAUCGGGAGUGCUCAGAGAUGGGUGUGCCUCUUUUGGGGUCGGUUCACAGGUGGUGCAUGGCUGUCGUCAGCUCGUGUCGUGAGAUGUUGGGUUAAGUCCCGCAACGAGCGCAACCCUUGUUCACUGUUGCCAGCACGUUAUGGUGGGGACUCAGUGGAGACCGCCGGGGUCAACUCGGAGGAAGGUGGGGAUGACGUCAAGUCAUCAUGCCCCUUAUGCCCAGGGCUUCACGCAUGCUACAAUGGCUGGUACAGAGAGUGGCGAGCCUGUGAGGGUGAGCGAAUCUCGGAAAGCCGGUCUCAGUUCGGAUUGGGGUCUGCAACUCGACCUCAUGAAGUCGGAGUCGCUAGUAAUCGCAGAUCAGCAACGCUGCGGUGAAUACGUUCCCGGGGCUUGUACACACCGCCCGU
rnacentral:rRNA from 1 species